rnacentral:rRNA from 1 species
AAAUUGAAGAGUUUGAUCAUGGCUCAGAUUGAACGCUGGCGGCAGGCCUAACACAUGCAAGUCGAACGGUAACAGGAAUCAGCUUGCUGAUUCGCUGACGAGUGGCGGACGGGUGAGUAAUGUCUGGGAAACUGCCUGAUGGAGGGGGAUAACUACUGGAAACGGUAGCUAAUACCGCAUAACGUCGCAAGACCAAAGAGGGGGACCUUCGGGCCU